CAGGAUGAACGCUGGCGGCGUGCCUAAUACAUGCAAGUCGAGCGAACAGACGAGGAGCUUGCUCCUCUGACGUUAGCGGCGGACGGGUGAGUAACACGUGGAUAACCUACCUAUAAGACUGGGAUAACUUCGGGAAACCGGAGCUAAUACCGGAUAAUAUAUUGAACCGCAUGGUUCAAUAGUGAAAGACGGUUUUGCUGUCACUUAUAGAUGGAUCCGCGCCGCAUUAGCUAGUUGGUAAGGUAACGGCUUACCAAGGCAACGAUGCGUAGCCGACCUGAGAGGGUGAUCGGCCACACUGGAACUGAGACACGGUCCAGACUCCUACGGGAGGCAGCAGUAGGGAAUCUUCCGCAAUGGGCGAAAGCCUGACGGAGCAACGCCGCGUGAGUGAUGAAGGUCUUCGGAUCGUAAAACUCUGUUAUUAGGGAAGAACAAAUGUGUAAGUAACUAUGCACGUCUUGACGGUACCUAAUCAGAAAGCCACGGCUAACUACGUGC
rnacentral:rRNA from 1 species